AGCCGUCCACGGGCUGAGCCUCGGCUGCGCUCACUCGGGAUCCAUUCAUAAAUAAGACAUCGUUUGGAGAGGAUGCGCAUGUAAUCGCGUCUGAUGUUUUUUUAAGACUUGGCGGACCGGAUGCGAGGAGCACAGAGGAACCAGACAUGUUCACCUCGGUCGGGGGACUGUGAAUCAGGGGCACGACUGAGAGAUCAGGAGUGACUUCCCAUGGCUGACCCUCCUGCUGAUGGUUUUGACUUCAUGUGCGAGCCGUCAGGAGGCAGCUUGAUCCAGAUCACAGCGUUCGUCCAGCCCAGAAAAAUGCUCGUUUCGUCGCAGGGUUUGUUGUUUUGCUCUCCGAGUUUCCGCUUGACACGAGAAGUCAUGUUUUAAAAGUCUACGGCUUCGAUUCUACUUUCAGCUACACUUUUAGUUAUUUAAUAAAUGAUCGUCUAUCAGAGGAGCCGAGGAGCUCACACACCGAUGGAGCAGUGAGUAUGGCAGCUAAAGAGGAACUGUAUGCCAAAGUGACCCCGCGGAGGCAGCGCCAGACCCGGCCGAGCACCGUCAAACAUGGGUCCACUCUGGACAUACUGCUGUCUAUGGGCUUCCCCAAGACCAGGGCGUGAGUACACAGCUGCACUGUCCCAGGACACACACACACACACACACACACACACACACACACACACACACACACACACACACACACACACACACACACACACACACACACACACAGCAUUAACCAGGUUAAGAGGCGUCCCAGCAGCACCACUGACAAACUCUCUGUGGACACAAACUUAAAUGCCUCUUCAUCUGCUCAUCUUAACUUUGGUGCAAACUCUAGUUUUCUGCUCAAUGAUUUUACUAAACUCAAAGUCCCUCAGGUUGCCCAAGGUGUGGUUUCCUUCAGUUUUUGCUCUUGUUUGUGUGAAAGAAAAGAGUAAGAUGUGGUAAUAAAAAUAAAAACGAAAGUUAGAUGUUAGUCUGUAGAGACCCUUGAACCAUUACAAUGUUCAUACACUUUUUUAUAAGUAGACCUCCUAUGCUCAGGAGUAUUUUCUGAUAAAACAACAUUACCUCUGACUUAUAUGGAAUAUGCAUUUAAAGUAUAUAAAUAUGCAGGCUAUUUUAUAAUUUUUAUCAUUCCUGCUGUGUGUAAUGUUGGAGAUAAAGAGCUUUAACCCUUCCUAACAAGUGCUUUGAUAGUUUUAUCUCUAAUGUAAUCUCUUGAACAAUACAGCACAUUUUAUGUACUUAUUAUGUAUUUGUAAAUCUUUGUCUGUUAGAUAAGAAAUAAAUGCAGCCUGUAAAAAAGUACACAAACAUGAAGCACAUGACACUUGUUUAUGCAAAUUUGAUCAGACAGUAUUACAGCAGCAUCACAUUUAUAGAUACAGUAUCAGUAUCUAUGUGCGUACCUACCCGUGUUCCGUAUAUACAGUAUUACCCACUUCAAAAGACAAGUUAAAAAACUGCCAUUGUGUUUUGGGUCUGUUCUAAUGAAAUCCUGAUCUCCUCCAUGCUUUUUCUCAUUCGUCCUGUAGAGGAGAUGUUGGAGAUUAGGACCCUUGACCCUUUCUUGGAAGUAAAUCUUGCAAAUCUUCAUCUGUUAGAUAAGAAAUAAAUGCAGAGCGUAAAAAAGUACAGAAACAUGAAGCACAUGUGACACUUGUUUAUGUAAAUUUGAUCAGGCAGUGUUACAGCAGCAUCACAUUUAUAGAUUCAGUAUCUUCUGUGUGUCAGUGUGCGUACCUACCCGUAUUUAUACAGUAUUACCCACUUCAAAAGGCAAGUUAAAAACUGUCAUUGUGUUUUGGGUCUUUUGUAAUGAAAUCCUGAUCCCCCCCAUGCUUUUUGUCAUUCGUCCCGUAGAGAAGAAGUUGCCUGGAAACAAGCAGUUUUGGCUGCUGAAUGGUGAAUCUAUGGAUUAUGUAAUUACAUAAAGAGAAGGAUGUGUUAUAGUCUGUUUGCUAUUGGUGUUUGUUGGCUUCAUCACAACAGCACAGUUUAAGAGGUCACAACUGUCGUGAACACAUGUUUAGGUAUCAGUUUUACGCAGCUCCACAAUAGUUAGUUUGAAUUUGAUACAGGGUUCUUAACAUUGCAGACAAAAAAACACCAGCGGCUUUUCUGUAAAAAUAGCAUAUAAUUUUAAUAUAUUAUUAAAUGCUGCAUUUUCAAUGGAUUGAAAUGGGACUUAAUACUUCUGAACAUCUUUAUUGUUUAAAAAAAAAAAGCCUAGAACAACCUGCCAGCCUUUUUUAUUGUCGAAGCCUGCUGGCACAGAAAUGAUAAAGCUUUGGAUUUAAACCGUUUGUUUAACUAGCUGCCCUUUUAUUACAAACCUGCAUUCCUUUGAAUUUGAAUAGUCUUUAGUAUGACUCAUAUGGCUUAGACAACUCUACUUUAAGUUCUGUCUAGCUCAGUUUUUAAGUCUCAUGCCCCCUUACUGUCUAAACUCUGCCUAAUCAUAUCGUCUAUAAUUAUAAUGUCCUUGUAUUGUUUCUGUUUCACUGACUCCCACAUUAUAUUUCAAAACUGAUCAUUUGAACAGCCUCUUCCUGCACAAAGCCUUUCUGUAUGUAGAGUGUAUUUCAACAUUGUGUCCACAGUAACAAAAGAAAUAGGAAAUUGUUCACUUUGACUCUUUGUCAGCAGCAGCAGUAAUCUCAAAACCCAGAGAUUAACUUCCAGAUCUAUUACUUGUUCCAUUGUCUGAACUGCGGGAUAUAAAACUGUCCCCCAUUGUAAAACAAGAGAUCAGUAUUUAUUAUAAGUUUGCUAAGUAGGCCAGAAGGGUUUUCUUCUUGUAACCAGACAGAGACAGUAUCUCCAAAAUGAAGCCUUUUUAUCCUCUGCAAACUGACGAAGGUCACCCAGACUUUCAUCUUCUCAGACUACAGCUCUCUCCUGCUCUCCUGCCUAAUGAACCUCUGCAGACUAAAUGAGCCACUGGGUUUGGUUAUAUUUGCAGACUCACAUCCAUUAUUGAUGACAGACUAAUACACUUUGAUUUGAUCAAGUUUAUAAAUUUAUAAUGAAGCAGAAUAAUUUACCGUCAUUACCCUCUGUACUGUCUGGACAGGAUGGUGGGGAUACAGCUAGAGUGAUAUUAGAAAUAUAGACCGUGAUGUACAACUUACAAAGUAACUCAACGUCAGGACGACUAAGAGUGCUGAUGUUUGUGUUGGUUUGGUUCAUUUCUUCUCCGCAGAGCUUAUUGCAAAGUGGUUAUUUUAAGAACAAGUGAGUGAGUAGAGUGAGUAGCGUGAGUAGAACAGGUCAGGCUUGAUAUAUUUUAGAAACUUUUCACAUUGUGGUUUAAAAAAUAACUGAGGCUUGAACCCAGUAUCAAUAAGACGCACUUUUAAUCUCUAAGAAAUACAAAUACGUUUUUGAUCAUUAAAAAUAAAACUGUUAUUUGACUGAAGCUGCACUAAAGAUCUUCUUUUGCAAGUGUUAUCAAUAGGGCUAUGUGUAAUCUGAGAGACCCACAAAGAAUUGUCCUCUCUAAAAGCAUCCCUGAACUUUUUGCUCUAUGUCUGGACUCUCUCAACUUUUGUGACUCAUCCUAGCUGUCAUUUAACAGGAUGGCUUUUGCAUGUACGGGCAAUAUGAAUUGUUAGAACCUCAUCAACGGCUUUUUAAAACAUGGAUAAUGAUUCUGUGAGGCUACCUAUUAUUAGAGAUGCUGACUCAACCUAACUUUUCAUCAAUCCAGUCACAGGAAAGGGGUGGAGAUGAGGUGCACGUGUAGCCUCCUGGCAAACAGCUUCAACACGCCCUGCUGUUAGUAAAACCAGCCAUGCCCUUGACUUACGCACAAGUCUUAGCCUAGAAAUAAUCAAAGUAGAUGAGAUAUAAAAAUAAAUCAAAUCCUUAUUCGUUCUUUCUGUUCAAAUACAGAAAGGAGCUACUGGAGUCAAAGUCAUUUGCUUUCAAACCAGGCAGUGAACACAACCCCUUUACCUGUCUAAUUGGACAUUUUACCACAGGUUUUAGUGGUGCUUUCAGGGCUUUUGCAGCCAACCUCAAGUGGUCAUUUGAAGUACUGCAAUUUUUGGCACUUGUGCAUUUGCUUCAGUUAUCAACACUGGAGUUUCCCACUUGGACUGGACUUUUUAUAGGGCUAGUUAGCAAGCUGCUCUGGUGAUCCCUUCACAAAAAUUAAUACUUGAUGGACUUGCUGCAGUCGGGUGAGUCCAUCGACUGCAGGGGGGGUGCACAGCUCAAGGAAGAACAUUUAUGAUCAUUUCCUCAUGGAAAUGCAGAAGAACUACUGCGUCUGCAGUGCAAAUUGGUUAAUAUGAUGAUUAUUACUUCAAGGAAAUGAUAAAGAACUGAUUAUAAAUGUUAUUCCUUGAGCUGUGCACCCCCUCUGCAUUAGAUGGACUUGCCCGGAGGUCUCCAUACAAACAAGCGGCUGCUGGAAGAGAGAGGGUGAGUAGUGUUUAGUCUCUUUGCUAAAGAAAUCAGGCAAAGCUAUAAAGAUGUUUGGUGGCUAGUGCUAUGGCUGGGACCCUAUAUGUACUGUUGAUGAAGUUAGGUGCUGUUCUGAGUAUUAUUUGUGGCUGUAGAGUGGCGUUUUGGUUGUCUGCGGUCGUUACUAAAAUUGGUAUAACUGGAGAAGGAAGUGGUUGGCAACAUUCAUCUCUCGACGGGGUGUCUAACCCGGUGUUUGACCCUUAAUUAAUUUUACGCCGGAAUAUCCCUUUAAGCUGCAGUUCUGGGAAAAGGAUGGGUUUUAAAAAAUUUUAGGUUCUGUUUCAGUUUGUCUUUCCUGUCUGUUGCUAAUUUGAAGGGUGUUAACCCUUUUGUUGAAUGAAAACAAUCUGUCAGAAUUGUGAAAAGCUAGAAUGCCAUCCUGGAAUUGGAUGAGCUUCCAUCUAUCUUAUCUUUGUUUCAGUAUUUUCAUACCUACAUAUGCAGAUUUGUGAGUUCCAUCUGGUUAAAUACAAUGGACAUAUCAGACAUAAUACUUGACCCAUCAUCAGGAUAUAGCAGUUCCUAGAUUGAUGAUGGACUAAACAAUAACUGCUUGCUGGUUAGCACUAGUCAGUCCCUUUAUUCUGGAUUAUAUCUGAUCUUUCCCUUUUACCUCUCACAGGUGUGAGUUGCCUGUAAUUUUUUGGAGGACUAAGCGAGAACUAAGCAAGAAGGACAGAAAAGAAAAGAAAGAGCUCACCCCAAAGGAAUUGUUUUGUUGCUUGAUAUCGGGUCCAUAUGCAAGAAAAACUGUUUGCUAAUACGUUCCUUAUAAGCAAACUUAUCGAGUACCAAUAUGUCUCAGUGCCUGUCUUAAUCAUUUAAAUUAUGAAGUGACUAGUUAAAGCUCUACUUUGACCAAACUCUUAAUUCCAGCUUUCACAACUGGACAUUUUUCAUCUUUUUUUCUAUUCCACAGACACAUAGAAGUCAUUACCAGUAUUAUUCAGGUCUCAAAAUACUGUAAAACCUUUCUGUCAGAGUGCUGUCAGUUGUCUAGCAAUCAUUUCUGCUUGCAGAUGAUCAAUUUCUCCUCUAUUGUGAAGCCACCAUCCCACACACAUUGUAGUAAAAUAUCAAAAUAAAUAUUUGAUUUGAUCAUUUUGCCACCAAGCCUCUCCUAGACUGAGGCCAGAGAGGAAGAAGGAAUAAUGGGAAAAUCAGUUAUCAGUCAUAGCUUCAGGGAACAAGGCCACCAUUGUGUUUGAGUUUUUUUUUUUUUUUUGCCAGUGGGGAACAUGAAUCAUGUACACACACACACACACACACACACACACACACACACACACACACACACACACACACACACACACACACACACACACACACAGCCUCUUUCUUUUAAAUGGGGGAUAUUUUCUGCUGAGUCAUUCAGGAAUUGACCGAUGUAAUCAGAUAGGAGCCUGAUGGACAGUAGUCUCUGUCCAUGUUCUGACAGUGUCUGAUGGUCAGAAGCAGGAGUCGAAGGUGAUCCGGUAGAGAACAUGACACAUGCAGUACUCCAUAAUUUCAUCAUGUUUCCCCACAAAUUUGCUGUUUCUUUCAAUAAUUUAAAAGAUGUCAAGUGCUGGAAUUGACCAAAGACAGGUCUAGAGUGUUUUGCUGGGUUAUAACUUGCCAAGAAGUUUUGAGGACUUUGAGUUUGGGAUCAUUCAAACAAGGAAGUGCAAUGGCAUAAAAAGAUACUACACAGAAAGCCUAAAAGGUUAUUUAUAGGCUGUAAAAGGCCCUAAACCUACCAGUGAUCCAAGGGUGUUAAUCCUGUCUUGUGUAAUGAAUUGUAAUCUAUUUUUACCGCAGUUGCAUGUUGACUGGGGAUUCAGAAAUCCAAUAUGUGAAGGUGACUUCCUUGUACCAUUGUGACCAUUGGUUGAAUUUGUUUCAUUUGCAGUUGACUGGUUGUGGUUUACACCACAUUUUUAGCCUUGACAUUUAACUGAGCUUGUGCAGCACUUUUACCUCAAACACAGAUAAUGGUUCUGUUUCCUAGUUCCUCAUUUUUUGAUUAUAUAAUGCUAAAGUUUAAGCAUUUUACAUAGAGAACCUACUGUUUAAUGUUAAUGAGUUAUGGCGAAUUUAAAGAGUCAUCACAGUAACACCUGUGUUCAAUUUCAAAGGUUGUGCUUGUAGCCAUAAUAAUGACUGGGCAUACACACCUGACAGUUGACAACAAUACAAAUCCUUUUGAGAGUUGCAGUGCUGGUUGGGUGAACACAGGAACCUGCAUUACUGGCAGUGUAAGUAUAAAGGGUUUUCUUUAGAUAAAGAGCUGAAUUUGCCACUUUGAAUUUAUACAAAAUAAUACGAUGCAUGAGGAAGUUUAUUAUGCCAGAGUAGACAGUCAGCAAGUCUGUGGCUCCUUCAUGUCAGCCAUGCAUGAAGAACAAAGCUGCCUCAGAGCAGCUGGGAAAAUUUGAGAUUUGAUAAACACCUUUGAAUAUGAUGCAGGAUACACUUGAGCUAAUGCAGAAAUGUGUCUCAUUACAAGAUGCAGUUUUUUCACAUCUCCGCUUCGGCUGCAUUUCUCUGUUUGAGAAGCAGAAAUGAAUUGGUUAUGCUGCUGCCUUUAGUUGCAACAGCCUUUGAACAAAGUUUGCUGGAGUGUUCUGGUGCUACAAAAACUGAACCAGUUUGAAACGACCGACAAGAUUGUGCCUGUUUCAGUAACAAUCGCUUCAAUAAUCCUGGCAGUUAACAAAGUGUAAGGGUGUGACUUGGACAAGGGAGGCAGAGGAUGUUAAAAAGUAAUCUAUAUUUUCAUGUAUAAAAAUGAAUAAAACAAUAAAUCAAAUUGAAUGAUAGUGCUCAGCUGUAUCUGAAACAAAAUGCACUCAGAGAAAAAGAGUAGCCAGAAAAUCCUCACAUUUAGAGCUAGAUCAAGCAAAUAUUUAGUACUAUUUUGUUUUCUGUUAAACUUGAAUGUUGAAUCCAGUUACACACAGUAAGUUUAACUCCAUAUAGGCACCCUUAUAUCUGCUGAAAGAACAACGUGAAACUAGGCCUUGUUCUGUGUUUUAUAAUGGAGAGUUGAUCAUCAAUAAUGACUAAUUUAUUAUGUAUUUUUUAUGUAUUGGUCUCUGCUUUUAUGUCAAUUCUUGGACUUCUUGAAUACUUUAAAGUCACAGUGGUUCAUGAUCUGUAACACACAUGGUUAUUUUUUGCACCCUGAAGAAGUCGGUGAAUGUAUGUCUGUUAUGAACCCUAACUCCUCUGUAAUGGGUUCACCAACAACCUCACUCCUAUCUAACAUGCAAUUAAAAAAUAAUAAAGAACUGCUUCUGAGCAAAUCCGAGCACCUGAUGGUGAUAUAACUAAAUUACGUACAUGAGACUUUAUGCUGCAGCUUCAAGAACAAUCUCUCAGCCUGUGUUCAAGACAGCCAACAGGAAGUCGCCCAUUUCCGGAAGUGGCUUGUGACCUUUACUGAGCGCUUUGUUGAAACGGCGGUUUAAGGGAGGCUGAAGCAGGAAAAAGUUUGCUGUGUUAACUGAGCUGUCACAGGCCUGAAGUUUGUAAAAUGUGUUCAUAAAUUACAGAUUGGCUUCAACAAAGGUGUUAAUUUUUUUAUGUAAUCUUGAUCUUUUGUCAACUGUUUUAUUUAAAUAAAAAGGUUUUGAAUAUUUUGUGCUGAAAGUUUAACUUUACAGCUUCGAAAUGCCGGCCAACCAUAGCAGUGACUCUAAAACUUCUGCUUUGGGCUCAUGAUGACACAUCCUGCUUCUUAAAGCAAUGAUGUGUGAUGCAUCAUAUUUCUGGCUCUGUGCCUCAGUUUUCUCAGUGAAACAUUUGCUUUGUGCUCUUUGACUUGUUUCUCUGACGUCAGGCAUUGCUAAAAAUACAACCCAUACGAAAACAACACACUUCAUGUUUUAUUUGACUGACGCUUUGAUAAUCAUUUGUUAAAGCCUAUUAGCUUGAUGGACCAAAAACUUUGCAAAGAAUGUUAUUAUUUAGCCACACAAAGACCCAUACAGCUCAUUAAAUGGUGUCAAUCUCUGUGUUGCUCUGUCUGCCCUCGUGGCAGUCGUUCUCAGCGCAGUCCUCCAGAAAUAAUGAAGUGAGAAGGGAAGGAGCAGAUCCAGACACUGACUGUACACAGCUAUCUUUGUUAGAGGUUAAAGAGAGUGAAGCGUUGCCUUGUUAGCUGGAGAGAGGAGUUUUAUAGGUGCACAACACGGAGGGCUGACACUGUUUCUGACCCUCAAUAAAAUGUUGUGGCAAUAAAAAGAAAAGCAGUUACCAUAAGUCAGUUCAGCUUUUGAUGGAAAAGUUUGACGUUUUCUAAAUGACACUUUUUGACUUUCCUCCAGGGAGUCAAAUGAGGCUAGUAAUACCUACACUCCUACACCUGUACAGCAGAUACAGACUGGCAGUGUAUGGCAGCAGCUUGUUAGGUUAACGGAAGAUAGAGGUAGAAAAAGAGCCAGCAAAAAUAGAAACUCAGACUAUUCCUCUAACAAUAGACAGAAUAGUCUGUCAUAAGUUUUACUAGAAUUGUGUUCAGACCAAAAAAAAGAUCAUUUUAAAUUAGUUUUAUACAUCAAUUGUGGUUUCUAUGAGCUACAACAUGAGGUCAAAAACCUAACAUAAAAGUCCACCAUUUUAGCUUAGAGGACUAAUAAAGUCAUAAUAGUAGUUCUAGGGUAAGUUGAACCAGUGGCUCAACUGAGAAAGAAAGGAAGUCUGAUGAGAGGAUCAAAGUUUCAGUACAGAUUUUUGAAUUGUGUUACUUUCCAAAAAUACAGCCAUGAAUGUUCUGAAUCACUUAAAGCUAUUCUCAUGUUAAAAUGGCUUUUUACAAAACAGCUUUUUAGCAGGUAUAUGCAAUAAUAAUAAUAACAUUAUUGUACCAGUUAAAUACCAUAUAAUAGAUAAAAAUACACAUGAAUGUGAAGAAGUGACUGUUAUUAAGGGAGAGAGAAGGUGAGGGAGGGUAGGUGGACAGUAGGGGGGAUAGUAGGGAUACGGCUCAACUUACCCCGCUCCUAUGGUCAACUUACCCCAUACACGGGGUAAGUUGACCAUAGGAGACCACUUUUUUGGCAUGCUAUAUUAUCAAGACAGUUAUGUUCACACUUAUUCUGUUGGUUUGCAGGGAUGCACAACAUCUUGAAAUAUAUGCAGAUACACUAGUUAGAGACUUACCUAUGACUGCCUUGAUGUAGUGAUCUGAAAUAUGAAAAAUGGCUCAUCUUACCCCACUCUCCCCUACAUAUAUUACUCAGGACUUAUUGCUUUCCUAAAGUAUUACAACUGAACCUGCACACCUUUCCUUCUUAAACUCACUGUCAUACAACCACCAAUAAAAAUAUGAUCAGUCAAGCAUAAACUGGAAUCAACCAGUGUUAUGUUGUUUGCCUAACUUUAAAGGGAUUAGCCUCUGGUCUUGGCUUCAGUGGAUGCUCAUCAGACCAGGACAGGGUCAGCCAGAUUAGACAUACAGUAGGUAGGCAAACACAGUUUUCUCACAGGUCUGUCGUUUUGAUGCUGUCUGGUGUUGGGCGUCAGCGUUUCUCUCAGCUCUGUUAGAGUGAUAAGUAGUUAGUGAUGAGUGUUUGCCAUUGGCCUGUAAACAGGAAAUGUUGUUUCGCCCAUAGAGCUGAGUCAAGAAGGGGCCCCUGGGAGUAUAGAGCUGUCAGUGUUAGUGUGUGUGCAGUGACAGGGUGACACGGAACUCCUACGUCACUCCAUGCUUGUGACUUUUGGCUUAAAUUUAUCACUUUUGUUUUUAUGUCAGUUUUGUGUUUUGUCACAGUAACUUUAAAUAUGAUGUUUACAGGAACUCGAGGAGCUCAUGAAAUGCACGGACAGGAAUUUUCAACCCUCUCUUUUUGGCUUGUGUGAUGUUCAAGUUUAGUGAAAAGGUCAGCUGCAAUAAACAGACUAGAGAAUGUUUACAUAUAUGAAAAACCAAAAGCUGCUGUUUAAACACGCUGCAGGCUGCUGAGCAUUUCAUCAGGAGAAGGGUUAAAUGUGAAAACUGGAAGUGGAACACCUGCCAUAUGUGGGUGAAAUGAUAUGAAGGCUGCUUCCAAUAUGGCCUGCAGCAGUGGGGCAUGUGUGAAUGAAAUGAAAGGCGGCAUCUGAUAACAGUCACUAUCUAUUAUGCAAACAGCAAUGCCAGUUUGAAACCAUAAUGAAUCCAGAGUGAAUUCUCUCCUACUUACUUUAAUCUUUUCAUCUUUGCGGAGCUGUGAACAGGAAAUGCAGUUUAUAAAUAACUUGCUCAGUUCUUGCUCAGAGGCCAUCAGGGUUAGAUGCAGUAAUGAAUGACAGAUUGCUGUUUCAACUUUGUUGGCGAGAGAGAAAAAAGUUUUGAACGUCAAUAUUCACACUUGCAAAAAAAGCCAACUCUUGAUGCUAGGUGUUUGGAGGAUUUGCUGUUUUUUUAAUGCCAAAAUUAUUAACCAGUUGACCUUUUAAGAGACUCAUCAACCUGCUCACCCUCUCCUGGUCUGUCACACUUGCAAGGAGUAAUGGAAACUGGACAGAUCAGUAAUACUAUCAAAGGUCUCUACUUUCGAAAAGUAACAGACCAACAUUUGCGGCACCUAAAGGGAGCUCCAUGAAUGAAAGAACUUGGCAUGUGUAACUAGUUUUACACACGACUUUGUGCAUCUAGCAUUUGUGUGUUUAUAGACAUACAGUUACCCCCCCCCCCCCCCCCUGUAACUGUAGCAGCAGCAAUGUGGUGGCAGGGACUCUAAAAAUACAUCCCACUGUGUCUUUCAACAGCAAAAACCAGACUAGGUAUUCUUUUUAAAUACCUGGUAUUACUGAGAACAUUAUUGUUAUGUUUUUGGGGGACCAAGCUACUGUGAUGCUUAAAUUGAUGUUUCAUGUUAAUUAUUUUAAUUAAUGUUAAUGCAGUCCACAGACAAUAGGCAAUUUGAAUAGUAGUAAACUUGUACUUCAUGACAUGAUGCCGCACAUUCUUUAAUCCUUGAUUUUCAGAUAUUUUGACUGUCUGUAGAGUUCAUCACUUAUUUUCAAAUACUGUUUACGUGUUGAGGAAAUAAGAGGAAGGGCCCCAGACUUUCAGUGUCAACUGUGUGCUAUGCCCAUGUGCCACUUGGUGAGAGCAACAAUGAACAAUUCACCUUAGAGCCCCAUGUUGCGGUUUACUGAGACUUCCUGUCAAUCACAUCAGCCCACCGCAGGCCAGGUGUCUUCCUGUCUCAGUGCACUGAAGGGGUCAAAGUCAAGGAGAAUAUUGUUCUUUAUAAAGAAUACUGUUGUUGUCUUUAACCAAAAUAUGCAUCCAGAAAGGCAUAUUUUCUUUUUUUUUCAUCAAUCAAUCAAUCAAUCAAUCAAUCAAUCAAUCAAUCAAUCAAUCAAUCAAUCAAUCAAUCAAUCAAUCAAUCAAUCAAUCAAUCAAUCUUUUUGAAGUCACUUUAAUUCAAUCUGCAUAGGAAAACAAACUCACAUGGCCACUACUCGCAUGUUUUUUUUUUACCAGUGCUCUCUGGAUAACUUUUGGCCUUGUUCUUUUCAAAAUAAAAGCACCGGUCUUUACAACAUUGCAGGAAAUAGAUACGUUGGAUUAGGAUGAUACCUUCAAAGUGAGAUUAACAAUAUCAACCUUUAAUAUGGGUUAUUGAUAAAGACCUUAUACGUUAUAUCUUACCUUUAUAAAUCUUCCAGGAGUGACACAUUUAACAACAUUUUUGUUUUCCCAUUAUUAUUUUGCCCUACAAAGGAUGCUCCUUUCUGAAAGUUUUGUCAGUACCUGGUUUUACUCUGUAGUCAUAUUACAAUGAUAAAUAAAUGAAGCAAAUAAAAACAGAAAAAGUUGGUAAUUAUUUUACUUUUCACGGCUGAUGUCAGCUGCCAACAGUGUAAUCUGUCGUACUGAAGAGGAAAAAAAGCAAAAAACAAACAAACUUUGAUUUAAAGUUAGUUGUCUCUUUUUUGGAUGGCUGGUGUAAAAACCAGAAGAAGAAAAGGAAAAGAAAAUGGACUGAAACAGAAUAGGUAGCUGAUCAGUGUUGAACCAAUAUCAUUUAAUGCAAACUCUAUCAACACCUGACUGAACUACAAGUCGAACUGAUAUAAAACCACAAAAACAGACAAAUUAUUAACCAAUGAAAUGGAACUUUUUCAAGUUUUGCACUCAUUAAAAUCUGCUCCUGAGCUCUUAAUUUCAAGCUUAGUACUGUGGUGCACCAUACAAAAUGAUAUAGGAUAAUAUCAAAGGAAAUAAUGAGGAUAUGAUGGCAUUGUUUUUGCAUUUUAUAUAGGCAUUAGGUCAAAAACUUGACUGUGGGGAAAAUGCAGAAUUAUUCAAACUCAAGCAAAAAGCCCAUGUUUAAGGAUUAGGAGCAACUAUCUUUUAAUUCCAUGUUUCACAACCGAAGAGAGCUUAUCCGUUAUGAACCCUGCCUGCAGCUCAACAAAAUGAAAAUAUGACACAUUUACUGUCCCAAAGUUCAAACUGCAGCCUCCUGUUUUAUUUCAGAAGAUUACUUAAGUCCCUCUGCUUUAGACAUUGCUGUUAUUUCCCACUUGUAGAAAAGUAGGUCCCACAUCUGUGAAUAGAAACAGCAAAAAGCAUGCUCCAUCUCCUGCCUGAUCCUGUGUUAUUAUUUUGUAUCUCGAAUAAUCAAAUCAACAGUCAAUCAAUCAAUCAAUCAAUCAACUCAAAAAAUCAAUCAAUCAAGCGGAUUAAAUUCAAUCAAUCAAUCUUUUUGACAGCCCAGUGACCUCUCUGUGUUAUUUCAUCUCUCAAGGGUUCACUCAGGAAAAAAAAAAUCCACAGAGAUAAGAAAGAAAAAAAAAACAGUGUUCUAACCAGGCUCGGCUUUGUGACGUCUCCGUCACAUCUGCUUGUAAUCCCAUCAUGCCUUCAGAGAGAAAAUCCCCUUUUCUUCCUCCUCCACACAGAACCAGGUGAUGAAGGAGACGAGUUUAGCCGGCAAAUGACUCUCUGUCUUUGUAGCUUGUGUUUAAUAUGUUUGCCUUGCAUAUUUGUGUGUGUAUGUGUUUGUGUGUGUUACAGAGAACUGUGUGAGCCAUCUGUUACAAUGCUGUUGUUCGGGGACAGUGCCGUAUCUAGGACCCUCUCUCUCAGUGGGACAAAUUUAAAAAUAGCUCAUUGAAUUCAAACUCCAGUGUGGCACACUUAGCCUUGUCAACAAAGUUGCAUAUAGAGAGGCUGCAUCAUGUCUGUAUCUGUGUGAAAAAAUAGAGGCCCUGUGAUGGUGCAGAAAUCAACACUCGGCUACUUACUUUCCACUGAACUGCUUUCACAUUCAGAGCUGUAACAAGGAGGGAUACAUGUGAAGAGAGUAAAGUAACUUUUCAUUUAUGGAGGGUUUGUUCAUGGUCAUCUGAUGAAGUCAAUGUGUUUUUUCCCACAUUGUCUGAAAAAAGAUGAGACUGUAAGGUUCUUUGUUGAAUUUUAGAAAUUACUUUGGAAAUGUUAAACUCAAUCAUAUCUCCAAAGCUCCUGAAGAGAAUCUCCUCAGUUUUGGCAAAAAAAAAAACAUUUACUUGCACUGAAGUAUGAACUGAUCAGAAUUUGGUGGUUCAGGGUCAAAAUUUAAGGUCAAGAAAAUGAAGGCCAAGCAUGAAAUGUCUUGUCAUAAAAUUUGGCAGAACUGACCUUUAGAAUAAAAAAUGAAAUGAUGGGUUUUUCUACAAAAAGUUUAAAAAUCAUAAGACAAUGAUUACCUUAAAAAAAUACUACAAGGCUUAGCCAUUUUUACAUUCCACUUGUGAACAACGUCACACAGCAAUGCUUGGGAGCAAACAGUUUUCUAUUUUUUCACAUUCACCACCACUUUAACUGUCAGCAGAGGCAAACAGAUGAAGGUGGUGAUUGUAGUUUUCAUAAAUGGAAAAGAAACAGCAAAAAGCAUGCUCCAUCUCCUGUGGUUCUGUAGAUACAUCAUGCAGAGAGUAGUUUCUUUAAUAUCCAGUUCCAUCUUCUCCACAAAGAGAAGCACCUUUACAAGCACCUGGCUGCCCAGUGACCUCUCUGUGUUAUUUCAUCUCUCAAGGGUUCACUCAGGAAAAAAAAAAUCCACAGAGAUAAGAAAGAAAAAAAAAACAGUGUUCUAACCAGGCUCGGCUUUGUGACGUCUCCGUCACAUCUGCUUGUAAUCCCAUCAUGCCUUCAGAGAGAAAAUCCCCUUUUAUUUGUUUUACCUGUGACAACUGUACAGGGGGUAAAUGAUUUAGCCGGCAAAUGACUCUCUGUCUUUGUAGCUUGUGUUUAAUAUGUUUGCCUUGCAUAUUUGUGUGUGUGUGUUUGUGUGACAGUUCGGUGUUGUGAGCCAUCUGUUACAAUGCCUGUUAGGCUUGGCCUUCCUUCCUGCUUUACGAGUGUCAGACUGGCUGCUGCCCCUGAGUCAGUAAGUGGUAUCUAGGACCCUCCUCAGUGGGACAAAUUUAAAAAUAGCUCAUUGAAUUCAAACUCCAGUGUGGCACACUUAGCCUUGUCAACAAAGUUGCAUAUAGAGAGGCUGCAUCAUGUCUGUAUCUGUCAGUAGAGGAUGUGAUGGUGCACUGAUCAACACUGGCUACUUACUCCACUGAACUGCUUUAAAACAAGGAGGAUACAUUAGAAGAGAGUAAAGUAAUCAUGAGUCGGUUGCUCUUGUUUCAUGGCUUAUGGAUGACACAAUAGGAUGUUUUUCCCCCCUGAAAAAUAAUCAUUUGAGAAAAACAAAAAGCAGUCUUAUAUUUUUCUGUGUCACUGUUAGUCUUAAUAGAGUCUCAAUGUUUCAACAGCUGCUGUGAAAAUCUUUGAAAAUCCACUGAACCUAGUAUGAAUAUGACAGUUUCCUGCAGUUCAGUGACAAUAGGAGGUCAAAAAUGUUUCAUGGCAGAGAUGGCUUGUUUUAACAGUCCUUGUGGUAUACGUAAUAAAUGCUGUGAGAUUGUGGGAUUGUUAUUUCACUGCUCUUUUGGGGCUGUUUGCUUUUUUGUUCACUGUCAUGUGGGAGAGCUGCAGUCUCCUCCUAAUAAACACGGACCGGAAGAAAAACUAUUGAUUUUGUGACUGUGUUUGAUCUGCCUUUUCUCUCUGUCUCUCUGUGCAGCUUGAAAGCUCUGGUUUCGACAGGAGGGAAAAACGUGCAGGCAGCAUGUGACUGGUGAGAGUACCACACACUUGAAUUUUAAGGCCCUGUUUUUGUUAUUAAAGCAGAGCUAGAAUAUAAACAG